rnacentral:misc_RNA from 1 species
GAUGAAGAACGUAGCGAAAUGCGAUAAGUAAUGUGAAUUGCAGAAUUCAGUGAAUCAUCGAAUCUUUGAACGCACCUUGCGCCCUUUGGCCAUUCCGAAGGGCAUGCCUGUUUGAGUAUCAUGAACACCUCAACUCUCAUGGCUCGCCAUGAUGAGCUUGGAUUUGGGGGUCUUGCUGGCCUGUGGUCGGCUCCUCUCAAAUGGAUCAGCUUGCCAGUGUUUGGUGGCAUCACAGGUGUGAUAACUAUCUGCGCUUGUGGUUUUCCAUCAGAUAACCUUCAGUGAUGGAGGUUCGCUGGAGCUCAUAAACGUCUCCCCUAAGCGGGGACAGCCCUUUGAAUGUUUGAUCUCAAAUCAGGUAGGACUACCCGCUGAACUUAAGCAUAUCAUAAGCGGAGGA